AAGACCGAAUAAAAAAGUCAACACAGAAUUCUGUGACUAUCAAAAAGUAUCUUUUAAUAAAUUAGAAGUGCUUCCAGCUCCAGUAAUGGGUUAGUAGAUUGGUCAGACUGAUCUUACAGACAUGUGAUAAAAUCUGUGCUAUCACCUGAAAACAGUUUUGUUUUUGGAAGGCACCGGUGAAUGAUUGAAAGCGGGCAGAAAUGAAGAGGAGUCUACCUUUGAAAUUAGGAACUGAAACUGGAGUCUUGUGUCUUCUGCCAGCAUCCAUGGAACUGUGGCAGGCUCGCUCGUUAGCUUGUGUGUCAGAUAUUCUUUAAAAAUUAGGAGCAGGAGGGAACUUACUUUAUUUGUUAAAGACCAGCUGGGGAAAAAACCCUAUAGCUAACAUCAUCCUUAAUGGUAGAAGACUGAAUGCUUUCCUCCUGCAAUCAGGAACAAGAAGGAUCUAAUGGUUUACAAGGAGUGAUGGAGUUAAGAAAUCAUCAGUGGAUGCUAAAACUAGUACGUGAACAAUUGAUGAAGAACAGAAUAUGUUCAUAGUGGGAAAAGUAGCAUCUUUACUUUGGAAGAACUUGGUGGACACCACCUUAACCAAGGAUCAAAGUUAACACCGCCAGGAAAAGACAGACUUCUGCAGUUCCUGCUAAAAUGUAUCGUCUGAGUCUAAUCAUGAGGAAAUGUCAGAAAAUCCAAGUUGAAGGCAAUCUACAAAAUAACUGGCCUGAAUUCUUUAAAAUUGCCAAGUUCAAGAAGUGCAAAAGCUAAGAAACUGUUCCAGAUCCAAGGAAUGUAAAGAUAAUGUGACAAGUGGAUGCAUCCACGGUCCUGGCUUGGAUCAUAGACUAGGAAGAUGGAAUAACCAAAAGGAAAUUACUGGGACAGUUGGCACCAUUUGAACAUGGACUUUGGAUAACAUGGUAGUUUUGUAUCAUUGUUAAAUGUCCUGGUUUUGAGAAUUUAUGUCACAUAAGGGAAUGUCUGUUCUUAGGAAAUACUUUGAAAUAUUUAGAGAUACAGGAGCAUGGUAUCUGCAGUUUAUUUUUAAAUGAUUAGCAAGAAAAAAAGCACUGGGAUCAAAUGUAAACAAUCGGUGAAUUUGUGUAAAUAUAUGGGAGUUCUUUGUAUUAUUUUUGCAAAUUUUCUAUAAAUUUGAAAUGAUAUCUAAAAAGUUUAAAAGGGGAAAUAUGUAAAAGUGAAAGUGUUUAAUAGGUGAAGAAUUGAUGUACUCUCCAGCUCAUUGAUGAGCCCGUUAGUUUCAGGCCAUGAAACCAAGUCAUUCAAGCACCAGGUUUUACUCUGGGAGUUUAAGAAAAAGAGUGACAAUAAACUAUGUUUUUGUGUUAAAGUACUUUGAGUCUA